GAGGAAUCUUCGGCAAUGGGGGCAACCCUGACCGAGCGACGCCGCGUGCGGGAAGACGGCCUUCGGGUUGUAAACCGCUUUUCUGGGGGACGAGAAGCAGGACGGUACCCCAGGAAGAAGCCUCGGCUAACUACGUGCCAGCAGCCGCGGUAAUACGUAGGAGGCGAGCGUUGUCCGGAGUUACUGGGCGUAAAGGGUGCGCAGGCGGCGGUGCGCGUGGCGAGAUGAAAUCUCCUGGCUUACCUGGGAGGGUGGUCGCCAGACGGCAUCGCUUGAGGGUCGGAGAGGGGCGUGGAAUUCCGGGUGGAGCGGUGAAAUGCGUAGAGAUCCGGAGGAACACCGACGGCGUAGGCAGCGCCCUGGACGACACCUGACGCUGAGGCACGAAAGCUGGGGGAGCGAA
rnacentral:rRNA from 1 species